GUCUUCUGCAGUGGCUGCCGGCCUGAGGAUGACGGCAACUGCAGAAGAUAA
rnacentral:pre_miRNA from 1 species